rnacentral:lncRNA from 1 species
CAGAGGGGAAAAUGGCGUGUUUUGGGGCAGGAACUUGGGUGCUGCUCCUUUCAUAGGUUCCUCAGCAUCAUCAUUACCAUGCAGGAAUGUGCCCCUAGGAGUCCAUUCUGUGUGGUUUUGGAGGGAAACGCGCUCUCAACCCAUCACUAUGGACCGAGGAUGCGUGUCCUUAGAUCCAACUGUGUGAAUCCUGUCCUGGAAUGUCAACCAGUUUGGCCAGAGCUGGCGAAUGGAGGCAGUAAGCAAUAUCCAUGGACAACAGUUGCCAUUGCACUGCACACUGCCCUUACCCACCUGUGUAAGGUUCUGUAUUUAUUUUCUUAGUCAACCUUGUGUUCUUGAACGUAGCCCUGUUUCUUUGUGUUCUUGAACGUAGCCCUGUCUUUCAUUUUUGUUCAUUGAUUUUGUCACAUGAGUUGACGCUGGAGAGACGAAGCAGGUUCGGGGAGUCAAACAUUUAAUAAAGAACGGACAUGGAACGAGACAGGAACAGCGUCAGCAAACUAGUGGGAUGCAGGGCAGCCUGGCGCCCUCGAGCACCGGGGGGGGGAGCAGACGUGACAGUACCCCCCUCUAGGGGCGCCACCUGGUGUGCCACCUGGGCGAACCGGCCAAGACAUGGGCGCUGGGAAAGCCGGUUGGGGCGUGGAAGCCCAACGAACCGGCAGGAGCGUGAAAGCCUGGCGAGACGGCUGAGGCAUGGAAGCCGGACGUUCCGGCUGAGGCAAGACGCCUGUCGACCCCGCUGCAGAGAAGGAGCCCGAAGAUCCGGUGGAGUGUGAUGUGGGUUAGGAAGCUGCAUAGCCAACCGAGGCAAGGAAACCUCUCGAGCCAGCCAGGGAGUGAAUGCCCGACGGGCUGACUUAGUCACCCCCGGUUCCAUCGGUGGCGACCCAGAGCCGAUGCCACCAUACCAACUGGAAUGCCAGUACUUGUUAUUUUACCUGAAAUGCACAAGGACCUUUUCUGGAUGUUUGUAGAAUUUUUACCCAUUUUGAGUCACACAAAAUUGUGUGUUCUCUACUCCGUCAAUUAAUCCACAGAUAAAAAGGGAAACCUAGUUAGUUUCUAUUAAUCUCUCCUCCGUCAGUCUUCUUCUUCUGUGGACUUUAUAUAGCGGUUGGCAACCAACUUUAAGGUGUAUUACCACCACCGACUGGAGUGUGGACCUCAAUUCAUCUUUCAAUCAUCCAUGUGGAUAUAUGCUCCUAAAAACCAAUGAGGAGGUUGGGAGGCAGGACUUCCAGCGCUUCACACGUCAAAAAUGGAACCAAGUUUGGAUUAAAUGAUUGAAUAACAUGUAUGUGUACAUUUAUUUUGCAACGUUGUGCACGUAACAAUCACACCUACAACCCUGUACAUGUGACUAUUAACUCAAUCUCUGAAUUAAACAUUCUGAAUUAAACACUGAGUUAUAUGGUGGGACAGAAAUGAAAACUGUAAGAUUUCAUGUACUUUUGUUGAUUUCCCAUUCACAC